GGGAGUUCUGCUGAGCUGUGCGUUAUCCUGACCGGGAGUGGCGUUGCUGUGAGUACUUCUGCACCAGAGCUCUUGCCUGUCCUUGGCACAGGAGGGGGAAAGCAGAACGGGUGGAAAGGCUUUCCCUCCUGCUUCUGCAAUGCAAAGGCAGAAGAAAAAGACUUCGAGUGUGUGAAUUUAUCGAUCGUACAAUCCUAGAUGAGCUCCAGCAUUAUUUCCAUGGAUUGGAUAACAAAAGGCUUAAAAAUACCUUUUCCAGUUACUACAAGCAAUUGAGUACCUUCACGACAAUGAUGUUUCUCCGUGUUUAAGAGGCAUCACACGGAGACAGCGUAGGAGGGACAUUAUAAAGUGACCCACUUCGGAAGUGGCCACCAUCAUCCGGCUGUGGUAGCUGGAAGCGAAAUGGAAAUGGAGGGACAGAGAAUGUUCUUUCAGAAUUAGGACAUGAUAUGGGAAGCCGACCUCUUCCUAUGCAUUUACAGGGGUAUUAGCCUGUCCAUUUCAGACAUCUGAUUUGUUUAGGUUAGAAGAGUCUGUUUUUCAUCCAAACAGUCAAUGGAGAGAAGCAGAGAUUCUUGGAAAAUGCUUCACAUCACCCCAAUCAGGCAAUAAUUAAACUCUUGAAUCAGACGUUCUAAACUCCUUAUGGAAGAAUGUCUCUGAUGGGAUAGGGAUCCUACCUUCCUCACCUGGGCCUUUUAAUUUAAGAAGCUCCAGACAGGCAGUCUUAAAGUUGGGCAAUACCCCUCAGGUAUGCAGAAGAGGAACGUAUGAAUGUGGGUACAGUAAAAUCAUCUCUGGAAACCCUGCUGGCAGGGAGCCUGACUCCACCUGCGCUGGGCUGCAAAACCCUUGUAUCUUCUGAUGCGCUCAGAGAAGACGUUACGUGUUGGAGGAAGAAUCUGUAGUCAGAGAUGCUGCAUUUUCCCGGCUGGCAAGAAGAUCCAAGUUGAUGAGCUUAUGAUUCUUACCAGAGCUGAAAGCCAAGUUCUUACAAGAAACAAAAUUAAAUUCUUUUUCAAAGCACAGAGGGAAUAACAAAGAUGUAGCACUACCAAAAGAUGAGAAUUGCUGGUUUUAAUGCCUGUCAGAACGGUCCAGGAUUUGGGAAGGUGAGAACUGCUUUUUUUAAAAUAUUUACUGCUACAUAAAAUUGUUAUUGUAAUUACAACACACUGGUGCUGGAUUAGCUGUGUGUCUUCAUGGGGCUGAACCUAAUCGGUAUCGUUGCAGUGGAAAACUGGAUGUUGAUUUCGAGGUGGGAGUAUUGCCAAUAUUAAAUAGAACAAAGUUAGCAGAUUUUUAAUCUGCCGUCUUGUUUUUUGGUAUUUUAGAUGGGACCUCAAUUUGGUGGUUCAUUUGCAUUUGACAAAACAAUCAAGCACAUAGGCACUACAAGUGCAUUGGGUUCAAGCACACGCUUACCUGCUUUUAUAGCUGGACGACUGGACUGUAGGUUUAACCACACUGCUGAACCAGAGACUACACACCUCCAGCUAGAGCAAGUGCAGGGGGGAAAAACGCACGCAGGAUCCAACCUCAAAGACUUCUCAUGUUGAUACUUUCCUACUUUUGCUGUCUAACGGUGUUUGUAUUUUACAGGUGGUUUUAAACACCAGCAUCAAAAACUUCUUCACUUGUUAGACGAUCUUCCAGCUAGGGAACACGGGACAUCCUUUGGGGGUCUGUGCAUUAUUACGGAAUAUUUCUCUUGCAGAUGAUCAUCUGCUGUUUUAUUCUAGGCAUGUUAAGAAAACGCUGGACUGAGUGUUCCAGCUGAUGUUUUGUCAUAGUUUCCAAAAAUAAAAGAAAGUAAAUGAAGAUUGUACGAAAACGCUCGUAAUUGUGGAGUCAGCAAUUGCUGAGCUGACUUACACUUGGAAUAACAGUCAGCAAAAAAACCAACAAAACUUGGCUCAUAGAAGUGCCCUGAACUGGAACAGCCAACAGGAUUAUUUUUAGUUCAGGUUUUAACGUUUUAUCAUUUAAAGGGAAAACAGUUGCCAGAUGAAAAACAUUACGUACAGUUUGAACAAAAGGCAUUUCCUUAUGUGCUAAACUUUAAACAACGGAUUUUUACAGGGCAUGGUUUCUCAACUACCUCUGUUUCUUAAGUUAUCCAGCCCCAGCAUCAUUAACAAAAAUAAAGCGAAUGUGAAAGAGUGAGAAGGGACAUUUUAGCCGAAAGCUACUUUCGGUGUACUUUUACAGUGAUGUGAGGAGGUACUAGAGUUAGUGGUCCACCAUUGCCCAGGAAACCCCUUUACUCCUAAAGAGCGAUUGUAGGCUGUAGCUUGGCGAGCAGGAUGACAGGCGUGAAGGAUUUUAAAAUUUUUAUUUAAUAUUUUUUAUUAUUAAAUAUCUAGUAUUUAAAUAUUCACUGUGAAAUUACCUAGUUAGGCUUCAUAGAGUCUAAUUUUGUAUCUGUUUGUUCUGUAUAAUUAGAAGCCAUAUUUAGCUUUGGCUACAGCCUUUUAUCCCAACAACUAAACGUGUUUCAUCUACAAGUGUUCUGAAACUUUAUUUCAAAUUUGUUUCAAGAGGAAUAUUUGGUACAGCUUGAUUAAUGUUUCUUUUGGCAGCAGCGCAGCCUUAGGCAGCCCAGAGUCAUGUUGUUUGUUUCCAGUCCCACAUCUUUCCCUAAGCUGUGCUGGCGUAAUUGCAUGUGGGGUUGUGCAGUGAACCCGCUCAAGGACUUGAUCUUGACUAAAAUAACCUGUACCAAAGAUGGUUAUUUUGAACUUGGAUCCCUUUCCUGCACGACGGCCUCACGAAGAUGUGGUGGCACCAGUGAGACAGUCGCCUGGGAGGGAAGAGCGAGAGGGGCACAGGGAAAAGAGGGGCUGCUUCACCCAGGACAUGAAACUGCAGCCCCGGCUUUACAAACUGAAACCCCCUACAAUGACUUUGGCCCGUUCAGAAU